UGCUCGACGUGUGGCUGCCCAAGUCACAUCCCAUGUGUUCAAGAUGGAAAGCCUACCCUCACUGGUGUCAGCAUCGAGACCCAAGUCCAGAGCUGCAUGCUCAUCGCUGUGAUGAAAGCCAAGCACACCUGCACGGGCUGACAGGCAGGGUGGUGCCCGUUUUCCAGGAGCAAUCUGGAAGCAAAGAAGACAGACAAGGACACAUGGUAAGGCCAUCCUUAAAGUGGCAGAUGUGGCUUGUGAACCUUGGCCAGACUCUGCUCCCUGGGAUGACGGAAACCUGCCACAUCCACACCAGACGCCACUGCUCCCCUGGCCUGGACAUGGCAGACGUCGUGCACCACUGAAUCGCCACGAACUACAGAGGAGCCUUUCUUCACCCUGUCCCAGGAUGACACAACGAUGUGCUGCUUGGAUGUUACCUGUACUGAUGGAUUCCUUUCUCAUGUGUUAGUAAAAACUGGUGCUUGCUUCUUAGAGGAUGUGUUGUUUCUUUUCCACUACUGCGGACCCCUCGAGGCCUCUGGAACAGUCAAUGCUGCUUCCCUUUUGGAAAACUCUCAGCAGUGAUAUCAUGAGGGCAUUUCUUUUUCCAGGACCCUUUCCCUACACCACUGUUUAUGGAAGCAGACCCACCCUGCAGUUACUACCGUCUGUGGACGUUCCUACACAGUGAGGGAACACUGCAGAGGAGGUAAGCUACACAUCCUGGGGCAAGGCUCCAACUGAGAAUUGGCUGCAAAGUAUCUUGUGCCAACACAUGCUUCAAGAUGGUAUGUUUAUGGCUACUGAUGUGUUUGGAUACUUUCAGCACACACCUCUCUCCUGAUCUUGGAAAAAAAGAGUGUCUACCAGGAAGUGACUCCCAGGGUCUAUUGUGGCUUCAGGAAAAUCCAGCUUCAACUGAAUUGCCUUCUUUUACUAGUAUUUAAAUUUUAGUGGGUUUCACUUACCGAUGCAGGCUGAAAUGGCUAACAGCAUGGGUGCUGCUGUGAGUCCUCUCCGGGAUGAAAGGGCUGAGGAUGUGGGCCUCAACUAUACUCUCCCACGCCCAUGGGUCUGCCCUGCAUGCUGUUACUACCAACUGGGGUGUAGGGGUACACCCCAGUCACACACCUGCCCCUGCUUGCUGUCAUUUUCCAACGCUGGCAUCCAGGAUCAGCCAUGGACAAUUAGAUAUCACAGGGGAGUUUUGAUCUCUGUUGACAAACACCAGAUCUCUUGCCUCUUCCCCUGGCAGUGAACUUUGGCCUGUGACAUCAGUUCUGUGGCGAGAAACACAUUUCCUAGAAUCUUAGACAAUGGGUAGCUGAACCCCAGGAAUGAGUGCAGGUGCUUAUGAGAACACGACAGCUUGAGUGAGAAGCAUCCUCCAGGGGUCCAUGUGGUAAAGACUUCCUCCCCAAGGUGGUAAUACUGGUAAAUGCUGCUAGAGCCCAAGUCAUGAUGCGAUGCUCUGACCAUCAACACACAGUAGGAACCAGGCUCUCUCCUCUUCCGUGGAAAGAGGCGAACGGCUUUGUUUUCACCACUCCCUCCUCCCCCUCGCUAUAACAUGUUGUUUUACUUACAGCAAAGGAGCCAACGGGUUAAUAGUUGACCCUAUGAAACCAGGAGCCCAAAGACCCUUUUUCUUUGAAUUGAUUAUCCUAUUUGUUAUUGUGACAAGUAACAAAAAAGGCUGGAGGGAACUUAUACCACCCCCCCACCACCUCCCCCCCCCCGGCCAUGGGCAUCAGACCCUCCUCUGUCCUUUCUGCUGAUGGUAAAUAGUGAAGGAAGUUAACAAAAUCAAAGAGCCCCCAGGAGAGAGGACAGGACUGAGGAGAACCCACUGGCCCCAGAAUUCUUGCCCAAAGACCCAGCUCAGGUUUUGCCUCUCCAAUCAGUCUCCAGAUUUUAACUUCUGUCCCCCUAACAAAGCCUCUGCAGACCACACCCCUCAAGUGAAUCACCUAGGCAAAUAAAAUAAUGAAUCAUAAAUUUUAUUUCAAAAUGUAAACGUCACUAAACAUGCAUACAUGUUAAAACAAUAAAAUUUACAAUUUCAUUAAUUUUUCUUUUGCAUAGGACAUUACAAUAUAGAAUCUAUGCCUUACAAAAUACAUAACAAAGUUUUAUCCAAGCAAGCCAAGGCCAGAUUGGGAACUGUACAACUGUAAUACUUCACUGUAGUGAUCCAGGAAAAGACAGAACAUGGCCUUUGGAAGCAUGUUGGGAGCUAGGUUAAAAAAAAAAAGUUCCUAUGGAAAAGGAAACUGGGAACUUGAUGGAAAUGGCCUUGGACCCUUGGAUUUUGCCUUGGGGUUUUGGCAAAGGAUCCCACAGAAGUUUCACUGAUGGCUUUGGAUGGGAAGCAGUCACCUGGGUCUAGCCAACAAAACCACAGCAAGGAUUUCCAGUCACCAAGGAGGGACAGGAGCUCUGAUGCAACAAUGCAUAGUGGCUCAGUGGGGAGCCUUGUGUUACUGUCCACGGUGUCUCCACACUGGGCACUCAGGGUCUCCAGUGUGCGGUGGGGAAACAGGGAGAUACUUCCAACCCACGUACUAGGGUAGACAUCUUAACUUGGGUAUGAUACUGGGCAGAUGACCAGGCAGUGUCUGACUCUCGAGAGAAGUAGCCCUGGCCACUCCUGGGUUCUCAGUACUAAGAAGGGCAACCUGGCCCACUGGUGUUCAGCUCACAGGCGUCCCUUACUAAUGAGCACAGGCAGUGGACCCGCAGUACCACACUGGGGGAACAGUAGGGAGAAAACCCCACCCUUGGGCCUGACCUGUUUCCUGCCCACCCCCAGGAAUGUGGGGGAGGUGUCUUCUCUGCCAUCCUGUUUGUUUCUAAAUAAAAGUAGUGAAGUUUUAAAGCUGUGUGAGAUGGGGGAGGGGGAGAACAUGACCGACAACUGGGCUAGAGAGAGUUCCGGAGAGUCCACUAACCCUGGAAGUGGGAGGGGAGGAUCAAACCAAGCAAGCCUUCCUUCCCUGGUGGACUGGGGCCUCCGGGAGAGCUCUGACUUUCUCUGGAGGUCAGCUGGCCAGCAAGAAGAGCCUCUCCCUCCGCAGUGCUCAAGCCUGUAUCAGUAGUAUGCUGGAUUGGGCAUCCAUGUUCGGUUACAAAAAUUCUCUGGAAUGUGUCCAGGACAAACCUUCAAAGACUGAGAAUCAGGAAAAUUAGUCAUAGGACCUGGCUCUUUCCUAGUGCCAUCCUGAUUUCAAAACAGUGAGUCAACAUCUGGAUUUAGCUUUGAAAGAUACGGCCACCAACACUGAGAGAUGGAAACUUUGAGAAGCAAGAAAUGUGGGUGACCUACAAAGCAUUUCUUACUGUCACAACAUCGCUACACAUAAACCUUCUAGCACUGUCACUGACCCAAUGGCCUUUUGUAAAGUGGAGGGGUGUGAGGGGGAACAAUUGGUAAAAUGUGUCAGAAGUCAAAAUAGGUAGCCUUGCAAACAAAGCCAUUCAUUACCAGGAGCUGAUAAACGAGGCCAAGCUAUUGCUCAAAUUUGUCUUACAUGGAUGGUGCCCCUGCUUGGUGGAGAUCCCAGAUGAAGCCUCUAGGAAAUGCUUUGACCCCGUGCAGUCCAUCGUAGCGCCUGCUUCUGGCAAGAAAAGGGCCAGUCUUCUGGACGGAGCGGAGCUGGGAGGCAGAAGUCUUGAAAGAUAACCCCUGGGCCCUGUUCUGCCACAUUUCUCUUGGGACCACAGAAUGCCACCUUCCCUCCCGAGUCUGACUCCACAUCUAAAGCAUCCUUCACUGGGGAUCACCAGGGCGCAAGACUUUGCACCUGAAGGCUGCACUCUGGCGAAUCCUGCACCUGUCCCAAUGCUGGCCUCAGAACAAAGUUGAGAUGGGGUGGGCUGGAGGUGGGGUCCUUGCACCUCAGGUCCUGUGGGUAGGGUCUGUUCAUGGCAGAACACAGGUGGGCACCUCCAGGACCACACCCCCAUCAAGGGCAUCACUGUCCAUCCCUACGUAGCACCCAUCAAGAGAGAACCAAAAGCCCCCUUUAGAAAGGGCUGUUUUCUGUAUGGCUGUAGGAUUCAGUAGGCAUCUGGGGAACAGACAGUGGCCCCCUAAUAUGGCUGAUGCAGAUGGACUUUCUCAUUUGGGACAUGAACUAAACUCCAGCUCCCUGAUGGCUGAAGUCCAGAGUUCCUUUCAGACACUGCUGUAGGGAACUCUCCCUUCACUCAGGCACUUUCAUUGUGGGAUCUCUGCUUCCCGUCUCUAAAAUAAAGAUUUGAUUUUUCAGUAUUAUUUCUGGGUACCCUGUGGGUUCCUCAGUCAAACUUGAAAUCAGAAUAUAUGGCCAUAACCACAAAACAAAACAAAGCAAAACAAAAAAAAAAAAAAAAAAAAAUCAAA